rnacentral:misc_RNA from 1 species
AACGGUCUAUACCUGCGGUACCUGCGGAAGGAUCAUUACUGAGUGAGGGCCCUCUGGGUCCAACCUCCCACCCGUGUCUCUUGUACCAUGUUGCUUCGGCGAGCCCGCCUCACGGCCGCCGGGGGGCAUCUGCCCCCGGGCCCGCGCCCGCCGAAGCCCCCUCUGAACGCUGUCUGAAGAUUGCAGUCUGAGCGAUAAGCAAAAAUUAUUUAAAACUUUUAACAAUGGAUCUCUAGAUCG